rnacentral:rRNA from 1 species
UACGUAGGGUGCAAGCGUUACUCGGAAUUACUGGGCGUAAAGCGUGCGCAGGCGGCUUUGCAAGACAGAUGUGAAAUCCCCGGGCUUAACCUGGGAACUGCAUUUGUGACUGCAUGGCUGGAGUGCGGCAGAGGGGGAUGGAAUUCCGCGUGUAGCAGUGAAAUGCGUAGAUAUGCGGAGGAACACCGAUGGCGAAGGCAGUCCCCUGGGCCUGCACUGACGCUCAUGCACGAAAGCGUGGGGAGCAAACAGG